rnacentral:rRNA from 1 species
CAACAGCUCAAAUGUGAAAUCUGGCCUCGUCGGGGCCCGAGUUGUAAUUUGUAGAGGGUGUUUCGGGCGCGAUGCCGGUCUAAGUUCCUUGGAACAGGACGUCGUAGAGGGUGAGAAUCCCGUAUGCGACCGGCGAUCAAGCCCGUGCGAAGCCCCUUCGACGAGUCGAGUUGUUUGGGAAUGCAGCUCAAAAUGGGUGGUAAAUUUCAUCUAAAGCUAAAUACCGGCCAGAGACCGAUAGCGGACAAGUAGAGUGAUCGAAAGAUGAAAAGCACUUUGGAAAGAGAGUCAAACAGUACGUGAAAUUGUUGAAAGGGAAGCGCUUGCAAUCAGACCGGUCCGGAGGCGAUCAGCCGCUGCUCGUCAGCGGUGCACUCGCCUGCGAUCCGGCCAGCAUCGGUUUGGGCGGCGGGACAAAAGUCCCGGGAAUGUAGCUUCUCUCGGGGAGUCUUAUAGCCCGGGUCGCAAUGCCGCCCGCCCGGACCGAGGACCGCGCUUCGGCUAGGAUGCUGGCGUAAUGGUUGCAAGCG